GGGGGCGACUGGUUUCGACAAGGUACAUCUGAGGUGGGCAGCAAGCCGUGGUCUCCUCGCCACGUAAAACAGGGGUACCGUCAAAUUGAAUUGACAAAAACUCUUACCAGGGCUCUUUGGCCCUUGCCGCUUAAUCUAUAAGCAGCCGUCAAUCUAAGAAUUGCUUCCGUUUUUAGUGCGACGUCAUUCAGGAAGAUGCAGCUGUGGAUGUCGCUGGUAUGCCACGGCCUAAGUCUAAACCAGCUGGAGUAAGCACGCGUGUUAUUCGGUGUCACUUACUUAAGAGUAACGAAUAACUGAGCUUGGAGACACCUGCCAGGGAAGUAUUUUGGACCGGAGUUCGAUUCUCCGCGCCUCCACCA
rfam:Atopobium deltae strain DNF00019 genomic scaffold Scaffold11, whole genome shotgun sequence.